rnacentral:lncRNA from 1 species
CCUCUAUCCGGGAUGAGGAGCCCCUGUUUCAUCAGUGCUUACUGAGUCACUUCCUACAGGCCUCCCAGAACCAGACACCCACGUUCAGCGUUGCCAUUGCAGACUAGCACUAUGGAGCGCUGUCAGAGUACAAGGAAGUCCAGUCCAAGUGAAAACCAGAUCCCACCUCCUCCACGAGGACUUUAUAUGAGGAGUAGGUGGACAAUAUUUCAUCCCCAUGUGAUAUCCCUGUUUGAGGGCACUGAAUACAGGUAUAGAUUUUGGUUUUCAUCUCUCUUUUCGAACAGGGUGAGCAUUAUAUACAUAGAAAAUCACUCCUGUUUUAGUCGUAUCAUAGCUAUAGAGCUUGCUAUACUGAAAGAUCUUCGUGAUUCAAGUUGCCUUGCUGUGUAUUUGGAGCUUUGUAUUUGCUCCUAUUGUUCCUCCGGUGAUAAUUGCAGCACUCGUUUCAUGGGGAAAAUCUUUCAGAAUUCUUGGGAAACCGUGGGCAGUAUUAAUUAAAAACAAAUCAACCCUAAACAACACCAAAUGUUAAUUUAGUUUUUAAAUAAGUACUAUCUAUGCCUGAUUCAGAGUGACUAAGUUAUGUUUUUACACCAAAUUGCCCUUUUUCUCCGUAGAAGACAAAGCCAAGAAAGCUGAUUUAAUCUAGGAUAAAAUCAGGCCUUAUGGCUCUUCCAGGUGAACUGCUUUUAUUCAAAAUAUUGAAAAAAAAAUCUGAAGAAGUCAUCAGACUAUUUUGUGUAUCAAACAUACUUGACAAAAUUCCUUUAUUUUGGAAGGCAGAAUAAUAUUUCAUCCCCUUCCAGGAACAUAUUGAAUGAAAGAAGAAAGGAGAGUUUUUCUCUUCCCCAAAAUACCAACUGUGUAAAUUAUGAGUAUUGUAAAAAAUAUCAUACUGCAUUCCUGGUACUUUUAUUAUUUCUAAGUGUUCCUGUACAGCAAUUAAUUUGUUGUUUGAUUUACUGAUAUUUUAUGUUUUGAGAUCCUUGUUUUGAGUAGAAGAGAAAAUAAAUCUGUUGGUAGCAUGUUGCCA